UACAGAGGGGGCAAGCGUUAUUCGGAAUUAUUGGGCGUAAAGGGCGCGUAGGCGGCAUGGCAAGUGGGUGGUGAAAUCCCUGGGCUUAACCGAGGAACUGCCGUCCAAACUGCUUCGCUUGAGACCGGGAGAGGUGAGUGGAAUUCCCAGUGUAGCGGUGAAAUGCGUAGAUAUUGGGAGGAACACCAGUGGCGAAGGCGGCUCACUGGACCGGUACUGACGCUGAUGCGCGAAAGCGUGGGGAGCAAAUGGG
rnacentral:rRNA from 1 species